rnacentral:rRNA from 1 species
UGGGGAAUUUUGCGCAAUGGGCGAAAGCCUGACGCAGCAACGCCGCGUGGAGGAUGAAGGUCUUUGGAUCGUAAACUCCUGUCAGCAGGGAAAAAGCAAGGGGACCUCAUACGUUCCUGAGUUGAUUGUACCUGCAGAGGAAGCCCCGGCUAACUCUGUGCCAGCAGCCGCGGUAAUACAGAGGGGGCAAGCGUUAUUCGGAAUUAUUGGGCGUAAAGGGCGCGUAGGCGGCUUUGCAAGUGACGGGUGAAAGCCCUCGGCUUAACCGAGGAACUGCCCGUCAGACUGCAUGGCUUGAGACCGGGAGAGGUGAGUGGAAUUCCCAGUGUAGCGGUGAAAUGCGUAGAUAUUGGGAGGAACACCAGUGGCGAAGGCGGCUCACUGGACCGGAACUGACGCUGAGGCGCGAAAGCGUGGGGAGCAAACAGG